UACGUAGGGACCAAGCGUUGUUCGGAUUCAUUGGGCGUAAAGGGCGCGUAGGCGGCGCAACAAGUCAGCUGUGAAAUCUCCGGGCUUAACCCGGAGCGGCCAGCUGAUACUGUCGUGCUAGAGUGCGGAAGAGGCGAGUGGAAUUCCUGGUGUAGCGGUGAAAUGCGCAGAUAUCAGGAGGAACACCAAUUGCGAAGGCAGCUCGCUGGGACGUUACUGACGCUGAGACGCGAAAGCGUGGGGAGCAAACAGG
rnacentral:rRNA from 1 species